rfam:Myotis lucifugus cont2.13280, whole genome shotgun sequence.
CAUGCACCGGUGGGGUCCCUCAGCCUGGCCUGCAUCCUCUCAAAAUCUGGGACCCCUCAGGGGAAGUUGGAGAGCUGGUUUUGGCCUGAUUCUGCAGGCCAGGCUGAGGGACCCCACUGGUGCACG